rnacentral:rRNA from 1 species
AUUGAACGCUGGCGGCAGGCCUAACACAUGCAAGUCGAGCGAGCGGCGGACGGGUGAGUAAUGUAUGGGGACUGCCCGAUCGAGGGGGAUAACUAAUGGAAACGGAAGCUAAUACCGCAUACUUUCGGAUAACCCCUAUGGGAUUAGCUAGUUGGUGAGGUAAUGGCUCACCAAGGCGACGAUCCCGAGCUGGUCUGUGAGGAUGAUAAGACACACUGGAACUGAGACACGACCCAGACUCCAACGGAGGGAACGGUGGGGAAUAUAGCGCAAUGGGGGGAGCGCUAGCGCGACCAUGCCAAGUGACGUAAGAAAGCCUUCGGGUUGUAAAGUUCUUUCUGUAGCAAGGCGUUAACUACAGAAGAAGCACCGGCUAACUCCGUGCCAGCAGCCGCGGUAAUUC